UGAGGAGGAGGCAGCACAGUAGCAGCUCUAUAACAGCAUCAUCAUGGACGAUUGGAUUGCCAUAUACCGGUAGUACGAGGAUCCGACGUUUCAGAGACGAUGUGCCCAGAAUGCGGUGAAUCAGACGAGACAGACCGUACCGCAUUGUGGGGGUUCAAGAUUGUAUGUGUGUGUGUAUAUAUACAUGAGAGAUGCUGAGAGUGACGAACUUUUUGGUAGGAUCAAUAUCUACCAGCGGUCCAUCAGUGACGAUCGGGGGAGUGGACAACGGGGAGCCAGGAGCUCUUUGAUCGUAUGACAGACAUGAGAUCCCAGCUUACCUUUGAGGGCUCGAUCGCACCCAC